CGAGACCUACAAUAUGUUUUCUUCCCUCAAUAAUAACAUCUUUAUUAGAAUAUGGGUACACAAAAUUACCUCAAUAGUAUCCUCAUCUACAUGAUUGAGCAUGAGUAGGUGAAGGCGGCGGCGUCGAGGGCUAUGUCGCUGAGUAGGCGGUGCAAUUAAAAUAUCGACGCCGAUUGAGAGAAUAGUUGGAGUAGAAGGUUUUUGUUUGGACUUUGAUUUUAUUCAGACGAAUUUGCAGCGUUCAACGUUAAAUCCAUUGUCAGAAAUUCAUCGUCCAACACACAACACCGUUCGCGAUUGCCAGAAAUUCACAUCCUUCGUCGUCGUUGAGUGGUAUGAUUUGGAUAAAUCAAACCUCCAAUUAAUUUCAUCUUUGCUUUCAAUUAUUUUCCACAGAUCCAAAAGAAAUGAGUUUGGUUGCUUGUCUCCAAUUUCUUUAUGCAAAGGUUUGAUGAAGGCUGUGUUUUAGUUUUGGUGAAUUUUAAUGUUACUCAAAUAAUUAUAAUUGCUUCGCUGUUCGAUUUUGGUGACGGCACUGCAUUGAUUAGUGGGGCAAAAUGAUAUAUACUCAUUCUGAAAAAUAAAAUAUAAAAAAUAUCCAUUUUUUAUAAAAUAUAUAAAUAUACCUAUUUAGAACAUUUUUGCUCUUAUGUUGAGCAUUAGUGUAUUUUACACUGAUGCUCGACUUGUAAACGAUAAAUGUCGAGCAUUAGUUUAUUUUCUAAAAGUGCUCGACUACAAAUAUUUGAUUACUCGAUUAGUAAUGGUUGAGCAUGUCGAGAAUUGCAGUAUUUAUCAUUAUUAUUCGACUCGCAAAAGUCGAGCAUGUCGAGCAUUAUAUACUUAUCACACAUACGCAAUGCUCGACUAAUGCAUGUCGAGCAUUAGUGUAUUUAGCACUGAUGUUUGACGUGCAUUAAUCGAGCAUGUCGAGCAAAGUUCGCGAUUUCAACAUUUUUUAUGAAUUAUGUAAGGGUAGCUUUGUCCUUUCAAGCUCAAAAUUGAUAGGUUUUUAUUUAUAAUUUUUUUUAUAAUGAGUAUUUUUUAUUUUUUGUCUUUGAGAAUAGGUAAAAAGAAUCAUUAACCCUUGAUUAAUUUUGGUGAAUUUGAUGUUAAUGAAAUAAUUAUUAUGAAAUAAUUAAUCUUCUAACUUAAUUUUUAUAAAAAUUAAUCAAUCAAUUAAAAAUAUUUUAUACAUAACAAUUUAAUAUAAAUACAAUAAAUAUUAAUACAUCUAUGAUGAAAAUAAAUCUAAAUAAGGUCAUGUUAUAAUUGAGAAUAAAUUGAAACUUGGUGUAUUUUCUGGCCAGACUAUAAAGUCAUGUUAUAAUUGCAAUUAAAUUGAAAAUUGAUGUAUUUUCUAGCCAAAUUAUAAGGUCAUGAUAUAAACCAGAAAAUUGAUAAAGUAUAUGUAUUUUCUGGCAAUAACCCCUUUUUUUCGAAAAUUAUGUCUGAAUUAUAUUUACAACUCGACUUAAAAUAAUUUUCAUAUAUUUAAACUUACUUUUAUAUGAUGUUAUACAUUAUUAUAUUUUGAGCCGGUAAUACACACGGAAUUUAUAACCAACACGUCAAUGAUUUUACAUUAUAAGCCACGAAUACACCCUCAGUCCACGUUUGAUUGAGUGUUUUUAGAGGUUCGAAAAAAAUUCAAUUAAUUGGAUCCAUUAUACUUAGUUGUUUGAUUUGGAUAAUGAGUUAACCAUUACCCUUCAUCCAAUUUGUUAUCCCUAAAAGUCGAGGGGAAACAAAAGAAAGAUAAUCCCUUACUAAUGAUUCAUUUUCAUUGUUUAACCAAAUACUCAAUAAAAGUAAUGAUUAUUGUUAUCAUUCCACUCCUUUAUUUGAUUCAAUUCUCUUUCUAUUCCUUUAUUUGAAACAAACAAGCACUCAAUAUCGAACCUUACACAAAUUCUUUUUUUUUCUUUUCUUUUGAGCAUGAAUAAUAUCAACAUUGUUUUUUUAAAAAAAUCAACAUAAAAGUAUUAAUUUUACAAAUAUACAGGUUGCGGUAUACUUUAAAAUGUUCAUAAUUAGAAAUGAUACACUAGGGGCUCGUUUGGUUUCAGUAAAUGAUUAUGUAGAAUAAUUUGUAAUCAAGAUAUUUAGCGUGGAUAAUGACAGAUUAUUAAUACUGAGUUGGUGUUUGCUAUCAUGACUAAAUACAGAAUAUUCUGGUUUAAGUUAAUCCUAGGGGGAGGUGGUAUUAUUAAUUCUAAGAAAUCUGGAUUAAUAAUACUGGGUCGUGGAAUUAAAUCGGAUAUAAAUAAUAUCAAACACUAGACUGAUCUGUAUUAAAUUAGCUAAUACAGUGUAUUAGCCAAUAUCAAACACGCCCAAUUAUCAAAAUAAUAUGGUCAUGUUUGUAUGUAGCUUGAUAAGGCUCAGAUAACAAAAUUAUCAGUAGUUUGAUAUCCAAUACUCCCUCCGUCCCUGAAAUAAGUUCCUCUUUUUCCAUUUUGGGACGUCCCCCAAAUAAGUUCAUCUUUCUUUCNCUCUAUUUAUAGGCAGCAUCCUGAGAAAGAUCCGUUGGAGGAGAUCUAUCUUCAAUUUUCUGCCGUUGUGACUUAGGGUGCGUUUGAUGGGGUCAAUUAUGCGGGAUUAGCAAAGGAAUCUCACAAUACACAAAUGUUUGGUAUCCAAUGAACUAAUUACUAAUGGCCCGGAAAAAGGUGAUGGCCCGGCCACAAGAAUCCAUUCAUAGCAGAUUGUGCAUCAGACCCCCCCCCUCUGAUACGUUUUCCAGGCAUUUAGACUAAACUCCAUCUACCGAUUUUGCCCUCGAUUAUUGACUCAACAAUUCGUGAAAAUAGAAAUUUCCCCCAACAUUUGCGAAUUCCUUCUGUCUCCUGUCCCGCCAUUCAGCGCCCAACGAAGAACCCUACUUCUGCGCAGCUUCACUUCGACGGUGGGUACGAAGCUUAGAAUCCCAGUUCGAUUCAGUAAAUUCUUAUUCCUUUUAUUUUCGAAAUCGUGAGUUCUUGUUCGUGUGACUUGUUUUUUUCGAAAAUUGCUGCACCUAGGGUUUUCAUAUUCUAGAAAUCGUUUGGGCGAUAUGGGUAUUCAAGAUUUCAUCUUGAUAGGGUCGAACCAUUCAAAUGAAUGGCGUGUGUGUGUGCCUUGUCUGAAUUUUAGAAAUGUUGCACGAAAAUUUUUAUGUAAGAUUCAUAUCUAACAAGCUCCGAUUAUUGGAGCCCGAUACCAACAUUUUUGAUUUGUUAUUGAUGCGCUCCAUUGAUUUAACAAACCAUUCCAAUUCUUGGUGAUUAUAAAUUUUUUCUGAACACCUGCAAAUUGGCAAAUACAAUCUGCAAGUGCUAUUGUUUUCUGUUAUUUCUGUCAUUGUUAUACUUGCAUAUGCUUCUUAAUUGCUGCUUAUUAUGAUGUUUGAUCACUGAUUUUUUGAGCAUAUGCUCUCUUUCAUGCUGUGGUAGUUUAAGACACCGUGUGUCAAAUUCAUCAAGCGGUUGCAGCCAUAAUCUCAGCUUAGUUUUGUGGAGAACAAACCAAGGCAAGUUCACUGAUAUCUUCGAAUUAGACACCAUUGAUAUCUUCGAAUUAGAUGCACAGCUUGAGCUCAAAUUAUGAUGCUUCUGUAUUAGAUAUAAUUGGGUUCAAUUUAUUAUGCCUUAUUGUACAAUGUAUCUACCAUUUGAUUGAGUGAUUUGUUGAAGAUUUUAUAGCAUUAUAGUUAUUGAAGAUAGCAAUUGAAACGUACUAGAGUUACGCAAGCAAUUAAGAGGGGGAGAGUUUGUGCUUUAUCUGAUAUGAAUCCUUGCCAUGGUGUAAAAUGUAUCAUUUAUAUUUCUUUGUUGUUUCAUUGAUGUUUAUUAUUUAAACCCAAAAAAUGAAUAUGUUGCUGGUUUUAUUUAUUGCAGAUUCUAUAUACUUCUAAGUUUCCAACAUUAUUGUUUAGAUGCCUGGAGGAGAACGCCCACGUGCUAGUCAUAUAUUAUAUUUGUUAUUACAAGAAAUAUUGCGUUCACAUAUUAUGCAGUUAUGUAUUGUCGUUGCAUACGUGGCUAAGUCUAGAACUAAAAAAAAAGAAAAUGUGGUUUAAAUCCCUUAAAAUAUGAUAUAAUAAGUAGGAUGCCAGACCAAGAAAAACACUUAGGUCGGAUGAUAGGCAUGAAUGAUAUUGAUUGCCUAUCAAAUUUGCGGAUGGACCGUAGUACGUUUGGGCGGCUAUGCCAAAUAUUACGGGAAAGGGGAGGGUUAAUAAAUGGUCGUCAUGUGACUGUUGAAGAACAAGUAGCUAUGUUCUUAUCUGUUAUAGCUCAUCAUAAAAAAAAACAGGAUUGUGGGAUUUGAUUUUUGGCGAUCAGGUCAAACUAUCUCAUAUUAUGUACACGCUGUUUUGGGAGCAAUUUUAAGAUUGCAUGAGCUUUUUUUAGCUAAACCCGAAGCUGUACCCGAUGAUUGCACAGACCCUCGGUGGCAAUGGUUCAAGGUAGUUUGUAUUAGAUAUGUGGUUGUGUAAUUAUGGGUUGAAGAAGAUUAUUACUUUGUAUACUAACACGUUGAUACUUGUUUCUUAUGUCUAGGGUUGUCUAGGCGCCUUAGAUGGCACCUAUAUUAACGUGAUGGUGAGUAAUGAUGACAAACCAUGCUAUAGGACCCGGAAAGGACAAAUUUCUACUAAUGUUCUAGGUGUUUGUGACCGCAAAAUGAAUUUCAUUUAUAUUCUAUCCGGAUGGGAAGGUUCCGCUGCGGACUCGAGAAUACUGAGAGACUCACUAAACAGGCCACACGGUCUAAAGGUUCCGAAAGGUUUAUACUGCAGCUAGAUCUUCUCGUAAUAUAAUAUGUUAAUGUGUUCAUAUAUAUGUUGGUUUUAUGGUAAAUAGGGGCCUAAUUUAUAUUCUGCUUUGGUUUGUUUGUGUUUCACUAGGGCAUUACUAUUUGUGUGACAAUGGUUAUGCAAAUAGCGAUGGCUUUCUAACGCCGUACAAAGACGUUAGAUAUCACUUAAAAGAGUGGGGACACGGUGCUGCCAGGCCUCAAAAUAGGGAAGAACUUUUUAACUUGAGGCAUAGUAAGGCUCGGAAUGUGAUAGAGCGAGCUUUCGGAGUCAUGAAGAUGCGUUGGGGGAUUCUCCGAUCCACCACGUUUUACCCAAUUAAAAUUCAGAAUAGGCUAAUAAUGGCAACGUUUUUGAUUAAUAAUUUUAUUCGAACACAAAUGCCAAAUGAUCCAAUAGAAGAACAAUUUGAUGCUAUGGCACAAGAUAAUGCAGAGGGUGUGGACGUAGAAACCGAUGACUUUAUUGAUACGGUGGAGUCGUCUCCUCAAUGGAAUGCCGCACGGGAUGCAUUGGCAGAGGGAAUGUGGCUACAAUACAUAAAUGGCGCCUAGGUGAUGAUUGCUUAUUAUAUUUGUUCAAUUAUUUGUGCCUUCUUUUUGGUCUACAAUAUUAAGUUGCUAUGAUGUUAGCUGGAGUUAAGCUGAGCUUGUUAAAUCAUUUAUUUCCUGAUUGUUACAUAUUGCUUCUCACUCUCUGAUUUAUAUUUUGGUUUGUUUCUUAUAAUAUUUAUUUUGGUGGACUGAUAAUUUGAUGUGUAGGAUAGAUGCUUCGUCUGAGAUAUCAACACCAUUGGUACGACGAGUAUUAUGGAUAUGCUAUGCGUCGAGAGCUGUCACCCCCUGGAUUUUAUGCAUGUCCAUAAUUUUGUUGGUUACUGAUAUUGGAAUUGGUCGUUUCAUUUGAAUUUUCAUUUUGUAACCAGCUGGUGUUUUUUUUAUUGUAAGUUUUGAAUGAAUUUCGACAGUGGUAAUGGUUUCGUGUACUUUUUAUUACGAGAAAACACUAAUGUAGUAUUCGAAUUUGCAGCCAGUGAUUACUGGAGCUUUGUUUUAAGCUAUGGAAAUGAUAUUUUGCAUAUGUUUGUGAUUAUUUCUCUGACAUAUGUUGAUAUUAGACAUUUGAUUAGUGAGAACCUAAAUUUGCUUAGUUUGUUGGUUAGGUCAUUAGUGAUUUCUUGAAAAUAGUUAUUAAAUUAGUGCAGCAUCUUGGAAAGCCAUGAAAACACACUGAGCUAUAGAAGUGCAUGUUUCCCUUUUCUCUUCAGGUUUUCUUCAGUUGACAUGUUUCAAAUAUGAUGAUACCAUCAUGAACAAGAUUUAUACACACACAAAUCUGAUGAUACCAAUUUGAAAUUGAUUGAUUACAAAUAAAUUUUUCAACUAAAUUAUAUAGAAAUGAUACCAAUCUUCCGAAUUUAUAGAAAAUUAUAGACAAUUGCUACUUUUNGAAUAUCUAAAAAAUGAGGAGUGUACAACUUGCAUCAUUGGCAGGUUCUUGAGAAUGGAAAUUAUUGCAUGAUCUUUGUGAUUUUAAGAAAUCGUGUCAAAUAUUCCCUAACUUUUAUUUUCAACCACCAUAUUAAUGGCAACAACUACAACAAAGAAAUCAAAUCAACUCUAUAAAUUGAAUUAUUGGAGAAUGCAAAUCACCUCUAUAAAUUGAAUUAUUGGGGCAACAAUUAGACGCCAUCACCAAAAAAAUUCGGAAGUCACCCUAGUUCCUUGUAAGAAAUAUUCAAAUUUUGCCGGCGAUGCCGCUCCCCGAUGUUCCCCAGCAAACUUGUUUCUUAUAUAUAAACAAGUGGGAUGCAAAGAAAGAUGAGUUAUUGCUCAAGUGUCUCAUAGAAAAAAUCGACGAAUGCAAGCCAUCACCGCCGCAGCUGUCACCACAUGCUCUUAUUUUUGCCAUGAAGAGACUAAACUCUCAACUCAAUGCAGAUUUCACCCUACUUGACAUUGAGGCGCGGGUUGAUUUCCUCCGUCAUCGAUAUGUGAGUUUCAAGUACCUAGCCAAUCUGCCGAAGACCGAUUGGGAUGCAUCGACCAAUAUUCUUCAUGCCGACGACAAUGUAUGGAGGCGGUUGUUUAAGGUUAUUUCCAACUUUCACAUUCUAAUUUUGCAAAACACUUUUCCUCAUCCAUGAGUUAUUUCGCUACGUGAUUUAUAUCUUUUAACCAUUACUUCGUUUCAUAAAUUAGGCGCUGAUCUUUUGCUUAGUUUUAGCAAUUAUGAAUGAUAGAAACUUUUUUUCUUUAUAUUUUUGGUGCAUAUCCAUCGACGGAAUAUUGUAUAGUUUCUAAAGUCAUUCUUCUUCAAAGUGUUCCGUAGGUUUUGGCCAAAAAUAAACUCACAAAUAAUCUUUGAACUUGUAGGAAAAUGCUUUUUUCCAAGCGUACCAUCACAAGGGUGAACCGGAGUACUUCCAAAUGUGCAAACUUUUCGGACUUUACGACGUGAAAGAAGAAAUAUCCCACACGGUUAUUGUGAUAGAGGACUCCUCUCCUGCCAAAAGGGAUGUGACGCACAUAGUCCUCGAUGAUUCGGCGUCGGAAGACGAAGUAACUUCUCCUAUGUUAAAACCAAAACCAAAACCAAAACCAAAUGCCUCACGCAAAUUAGACGUAGAAGAUGCAUGUUCUAGUGUGACUCCAGGGUUGCCGACUUCAUAUGCGAGUCAUGUUUACGUUCCAUGGUCGCCUAUAAAGGUCAAAUUUGCUCAACAACGGGGUCUUCUCUUCCAGCAAAAAAAGCUUUCCACGGCAAGUCGAAGGAGAAUAAAAAAUCGGAUACCACAAAUGGUGUUAGCUCGUGUGCUUCGUCCUCGCCUUUUAAAUAGUUGAGAAGGCGAUGGUAGAAUCUUUUAAAAUACUUAUGUUUUUUGAAUUAUGCUGCAUCGUUUGAUACACGAUAGCAUCGGUUAUGUUUUUGUUUUUCAAUUUGCUACUCAACAAUUUUGAAUCCGUAGGGGAAGAAUCGAACUUUUAUCAUUUUGUGAUAUUGUUGUUUUGUCGACAAUUUAAGUUAUUAUUCUCUUUUGUUUGGAAUUUAUAAAAUUUCGUUAUGUUUGGAUUACAAUGAUAUUAUGCAUUUUCAAUCUAGAACUAAACUCCACUAUCGUCAUUCACUUCAUAUUCAUAAACACCAGCCACCCUACCUCCUCUCCUCUCUCUCUCUCACACACACACACACACACACAAACAGCUAUCUGAGGAAAUGGUGACACUAGAGAUAAAGGAGGUGUUGUUUGGUGGCUGCCGCCGUGGCAUACAAAUCUUAAGUCGAAAUGUAGAAAUCACAUGAAUUGAUGAGAAUUCUUUACGAAUGAGAUCUCUAAUCAUCAAACAAUCAGGAGGAAAAAAAAAGUUGCUUGAGAUCUCUAACUCUUUACGAGCGUGGCAGCGCAGGAGGCCCUUACCCCCAGACAUGCAUCCGACGCUGCAGCUUUUCUACCAGCUGCUUGAGGCUCCUCCUCUUUCUUUUAUUUAUUCCAUAUUCUUUCGCCCUCAUAUAUUGUUUGGGACAUCUGUUUCUAUCCAUUUAAUUAAUCGAUUGUUUUUUAUUCUAGAACUAAGCAUAAUAGCUCGUUAUUUUUGAAAAAUUAAGCAACCCAGGUCACAUAAGUUAUACAUGAAAAACAUACAUACUCAUAUUGAAAGUAAUGGAAGAGAAAAGUCUUCAACAUAUAUUAGAAUUCAAAAUGAAGGCAAAAUCAGAAAACAAUACAUCACCAACUAGCAGGCAAUCUCGUGUAAAAACCAUUCUACUUGUCCAAAUUAUUAGAAAAUAAUACAUACCACCAUAAGUUCACGAGAUAUUAAAGUCGAUAUGUGAUGCUAAUAAAAAAACCCCAUACUUGAUAAAUAUGUGUUCCUCGUCUCUAUUUAUACUUCUCCUCCAGAAGGUAGUAGACGUACUCACACUUUGAUUCUUCUGGCAAACUUGUGAAUACAUCCAGGCGCUCCACUUCUUUUGCAAGCAAAUCAGUAAUUGCGAAUUUUGCUUUUUGAGACAACCUCGGUAUUGUAUCCAACUGUGCGAAAAGCUCCUUUCUCGCCUUGGAUAUGUCGAAGUCAUAGCCCAUUCGACUAGCGAUAGUCUCAAGUCUUUUGUCAGUUGUGCUGUUGAUCUCACCCAAAAGCUCAUACAGCUUAUCGAGCCCCUCGUCGUGCUUUCUUUUUUUGCUCACACCACGAACAGAUUCAGACUUCUUGGUUUGACUAACGCUAUCACCGAUAUCGACUUGCUCGAACUGUCAUCUAGUGGCACGCGAUUAUCGCCAUCGACUCGUGGUUGGCUCAAGUCGAUGUUGUGAUACAUCUCAUGUGCUGCAUCCAUGAGAUCUUCAGCUAUAUCGCCCGUUGCACGAUCCUUGCCAAAAAUUUCAGUCCAUUGAUCGAAGUAGGGCCAGCUCUUGUAACGCAUUUUUGUUGCGUUCCCAUCCUUCUACAAUGUACAAAAUCAGCUAGUUAGAAACAAAGCAAAACUCGAAUACAUUACAAAGAAGAGUGACAGACUACUACCUUCACAAUCGCCUCCCAUUGUUCAUCGUCACAGUCAAUCAUGUUGGUGCCGUUCAAGUUGAAUCCCGCUCCACUUUUGCCCAUCAUUGUUGUUAACGAGUUAUAGUUUUUCUUCCAUAUUGUUACCUUCGAAUUGAUAUGUGGCAUUCCCUUCAAAUCAGUCGUUGGAAAUUUCUUUUUCAUCGCCUCCUCCAAUUUGUUUAGAUAUCCGGCGCGAAAGCCGUUAUCGGAUUUCCAUCCUUGAGCCACUAAUUCCUUCAAGGCAGCCAACAAGAUUUCUUCCUCAUAUGUUGACCAGCUACGACGAGUCUUGUCGGUCUUAUUUAUUCGACCACCACGAACAAAUCCGCUACUUCCUGCUACAAUUCAUCGAAGCAUCAAUAGCAUGUGUAACAUACACAAAUAAGGUCGGGCAGACAACAAAGUAUUGGACUUUUCGAUCAAAACACAACUCAUAUACACAACAAAACAACAAGGUUUUCUAUUAGACAAAAGAAUAAUAUGUUUCAAUUUUUAAAAAGUAGUAAUCAAUAUUAAACACAUAUCACUUUCGGCAGAGAGUUCUUUUAAAACUAUUCCACACCAUAAUAGAUUUCAGAAGUUAUACAAGCACGACAACAAAUGAUAUGAACUAAUUCCAAGUGAUGUAAAACCGAAAACAAGAUACAUGUUUCUCUACUUCACCAACUUGUUGCACGAAAUCUUCAUAAAACGCUAGAUGUCACGAAUUCAACAUAAUACUCAAAAGAUGAGUUGUAUUACUGACUAUGAUUCGCGGUAUUUCGAAUCCAAAUAUAAUGAAUCGAACGAAAAUAACAUACAAGUACAGCUGUUCUAUUCCGAUUACUGUUCCUUUGGCAAGAAACACGCAAAAAACAAAUAACCAGUAACAAGUAAAAACGAUGACAUUUUCUGGAUCGAAGCAUAACAUACCUUGCAUCGCGGAACUCAUGAUCGAUGUUGCGCAACUAUUCACAGAUCUGUUUUUUCCCCACCGAAUACGUUCUACCUUCUGAAGCCCUAGUCUUUUUGGCGCGAUGAUAGUUCUUACGAUAUGUAAAAAAAUCUUGAAAUAUAUCGGCGGGUUUAGAAAAGGAUACGCUGGUCCAAAGGCAAUUAAUGGAUGGGUUUUUGUGAUUUUUUAUCUAUUAAUUUAGGGCAGAUUUUUAGCUAUCAAACACGAACAUUGUGUGACUGUCAUAUGUAAUUUAUGUAUCAAACGCAGAAGAUUAGGAAAUAAUCUCCACUAAUCUACUAGAGGUAACUGCCGAUAUUUUUUCUGGCCACAACCGUGAUGGGGAAUCAAACGUGCCCUUAGAUUCAAAUUUGAGCUUAGGUCCUCAGUCUUCGUCCUCCCUAAACUGAAAGAAGUAGCGUCCUUUCUUUCGUAGGUGAGGGUGCUGCAGAAUAAAGCAGCACGAAAAAGAAAACUCCGCACUCCGAAAGAUGAUUCUGCAGAUCUUCGUAUUAAAUGCAGUUGUACUUGGAGUCAGCUGCUUACUUUCCAAGUGGCUUCUUUUGAAACGAAUAAAACAUAAAACAUCCUUAAAUUGAGAAUCAGUUUGGGACAGAGAAUAAGUCUGAGGUUUCAACUGAUACUUUACUUCAGCAUCAGUCUCUGCUUUGAUUUUGAUUAAAUUUUGAUUUCAACUUGUAUUUAAUUUUAAUAUUUUUUUAUUAAAUCUACAUUGAUUGAAAAUAAAAAUUGGAUUACAAUAAAAAUAAAGUCCUAAAUUACUUCAAAUUUAAAAAGAAUUGGCUUUCACUGAAGAAGGUGGAAGAAUCAAAAAACGCAAUGAAUCAGCAGUCUUGAGUCACUUUUACAUGUCUUCUUCUUCUUUGUCUGAUGGAGAGUCAGAGAGAAUAGCAGAAAUUGUUGUAAAGGCGCAAAAAAUUGUCCAAUAAGUUUUCAAAAACCAAGUACCCCAAAGAGUUAUUCCAAACUAAAAAGUUAAGAAUUCAAAAUCACUUUUAUGUCUCAUUACAAAUGUCUCAGUUUUUAUAAUGGAAUGUCCAAUUACAAAUGUCUCAUUCUUUUUUUGGCAAAUAAUUAAGAAGCUAAUUAACUCUCUCUGUGUCUACUUUUACAAAUCUCAAUUUAUUUAUCUCUCUCCACUAACUAACUUUUCUACUAAUUACAUAUUCUCAAUCUCGUGCCCAAAAGUAAUGAACAGAGUAAUUCAUAUGACUUAACAUGAUGAGUCAACUCAAUAUAGACUUGACUCAUAAGUGGUCUGAAGAUGAAUGAGUAAGUAUUGACUCAACCAAUAUGCAUGCUCUAAGGGCUCCACUAGUGGGGGGUGCGGAAGGCGGUGCACCACCCUCCCCCUCUCCCCCAUAUUGCCGCCACCCUCUCUCUAUGCACCCAUCCCUUCCCACCACACCCGGUGCAGACGGCCAUUCUAUUGGGCCCAUGUAUACCACGGCCUAAUCAGAUUUUUUAAGCCAUUAAUUUAAAAAAAAAUUCAAAAAAUCAGAAACAACUAUUUUGCAUUUGGCAACAUUUUUUUGGCAGAGAACCGUUUCCAAACGGCAUUUUUGUAUUUUUUUCUUUUCUUUAUCUCUAUAUUGCUUCUAUAAAUUGGAGAGCUCUCCUAUUCAAUUUCUAACACAAUUCUAUCUUCAUCUUCUUUCUAUAUAUAUUUUUUUUGUGGUAAAAAAAUGGAUGAUAGUUGGAAAAAAUNUUGUGUGACUGUCAUAUGUAUUUUAUGUAUCAAACGCAGAAGAUUAGGAAAUAAUCUCCACUAAUCUACGAGAGGUAACCGCCGAUAUUUUUUCUGGCCACAACCGUAAUGGGUUUUUGUGACUUUUUAUCUAUUAAUUUAGGGCAGAUUUUUAGCUAUCAAACACACAAGUCUUCUAAGAAAUCUUGAGCGAGACCUACAAUAUGUUUUCUUCCCUCAAUAAUAACAUCUUAUUAGAAUAUGGGUACACAAAAUUACCUUAUUGUCUACCUCAAUAGUAUCCUCAUCUACAUGAUUGAGCAUGAGUAGGUGAAGGCGGCAGCGGCGAGGGCUAUGUCGCCGAGUAGGCGGUGCAAUUAAAAUAUCGGCGCCGACUGAGAGAAUAGCUGGAGUAGAAGGUUUUUGUUUGGAUUUUGAUUUUAUUCAGACGAAUUUACAGCGUUCAACGUUAAAUCCAUUGUCAGAAAUUCAUCGUCCAACGCACAACGCUGUUCGCGAUUGUCAGAAAUUCACAUCCUUCGUCGUCGUUGAGUGGUAUGAUUGGAUAAAUCAAAUCUCCAAUUUCAUCUUUGCUUUCAAUUAUUUUCCACAGAUCCAAAAGAAAUGAGUUUGGUUGCUUGUCUCCAAUUUCUUUAUGGAAAGGUUUGAUGAAGGCUGUGUUUUAGUUUUGGUGAAUUUAAUGUUACUCAAAUAAUUAUAAUCGCUUCGCUGUUCGAUUUUGGUGACGGCACUGCAU
rnacentral:lncRNA from 1 species